rnacentral:rRNA from 1 species
GAUGAACGCUGGCGGCGUGCCUAAUACAUGCAAGUCGAGCGAACAGACGAGGAGCUUGCUCCUCUGACGUUAGCGGCGGACGGGUGAGUAACACGUGGAUAACCUACCUAUAAGACUGGGAUAACUUCGGGAAACCGGAGCUAAUACCGGAUAAUAUAUUGAACCGCAUGGUUCAAUAGUGAAAGACGGUUUUGCUGUCACUUAUAGAUGGAUCCCCGCCGCAUUAGCUGGUUGGUAAGGUAACGGCUUACCAAGGCAACGAUGCGUAGCCGACCUGGGAGGGUGAUCGGCCACACUGGAACUGAGCCACGGUCCAGACUCCUACGAGAGGCAGCAGUAGGGAAUGUUCCGCAAUGGGCGAAAGCCUGGCGGAGCAACGCCGCGUGAGUGAUGAAGGUCUUCGGAUCGUAAAACUCUGUUAUUAGGGAAGAACAAAUGUGUAAGUAACUAUGCACGUCUUGACGGUACCUAAUCAGAAAGCCACGGCUAACUACGUG